ACAUUGCUGAUGAGUCCCACAAUAGGACAAAAUGGCCGUCCAAUGU
rnacentral:hammerhead_ribozyme from 1 species